rnacentral:rRNA from 1 species
UACGUAGGUGGCAAGCGUUAUCCGGAAUUACUGGGCGUAAAGCGCACGCAGGCGGUCUUUUAAGUUUGACGUGAAAGCUCCCGGCUUAACUGGGAGAGGUCGUUGAAGACUGGAAGACUUGAGGCAAUGAGAGGGGUGUAGAAUUCCCGGUGUAGUGGUGGAAUGCGUAGAUAUCGGGGGGAACACCUGAGGCGAAGGCGGGUUGCUAGGCUGACACUGACGCUGACAGCGCGAAAGCUAGGGUAGCAAACGGG